UACGUAGGCAGCAAGCGUUGUUCGGAAUUACUGGGCGUAAAGGGUGCGUAGGCGGCUUUUUAAGUUUGUUGUGAAAUCUCCCGGCUCAACUGGGAGGGUGCGGCGAAUACUGAGAAGCUAGAGUGUGGGAGAGGAAAGUGGAAUUCCUGGUGUAGCGGUGAAAUGCGUAGAUAUCAGGAGGAACACCGGUGGUGUAAACGGCUUUCUGGACCAUAACUGACGCUGAGGCACGAAAGCGUGGGUAGCAAAC
rnacentral:rRNA from 1 species